rnacentral:rRNA from 1 species
GAUGAACGCUGGCGGCGUGCCUAAUACAUGCAAGUCGAGCGAACAGACGAGGAGCUUGCUCCUCUGACGUUAGCGGCGGACGGGUGAGUAACACGUGGAUAACCUACCUAUAAGACUGGGAUAAUUUCGGGAAACCGGAGCUAAUACCGGAUAAUAUAUUGAACCGCAUGGUUCAUUAGUGAAAGACGGUUUUGCUGUCACUUAUAGAUGGAUCCGCGCCGCAUUAGCUAGUUGGUAAGGUAACGGCUUACCAAGGCAACGAUGCGUAGCCGACCUGAGAGGGUGAUCGGCCACACUGGAACUGGAACAGGGUCCAGGCUCCUGCGGGAGGGAGCAGUAGGGAAUCUUCCGCAGUGGGCGAAAGCCUGACGGAGCGACGCCGCGUGAGUGAUGAAGGUCUUCGGAUCGUAAAACUCUGUUAUUAGGGAAGAACAAAUGUGUAAGUAACUGUGCACGUCUUGACGGUACCUAAUCAGAAAGCCACGGCUAACUACGUG